AUUGAACGCUGGCGGCAUGCCUAACACAUGCAAGUCGACCGAGUGGCGGACUGGUGAGUAAUGUCUGGGAAACUGCCUGAUGGAGGGGGAUAACUCCUGGAAACGGUAGCUAAUACCGCAUACCAUCGGAUGUGCCCAGAGGGGAUUAGCUAGUAGGUGUGGUAACGGCGAACCUAGGCCACGAUCCCUAGCUGGUCUGAGAGGAUGACAAGCCACACUGGAACUGAGACACGGUCCAGACGCGUACGGGAGGCAGCAGUGGGGAAUAUUGCACAAUGGGCGCAAUCCUGAUGCAGCCAUGCCGCGUGUAUGAAGAAGGCCUUCGGGUUGUAAAGUACUUUCAGCGGGGAGGCGUUACCAGCAGAAGAAGCACCGGCUAACUCCGUGCCAGCAGCCGCGGUAAUUC
rnacentral:rRNA from 1 species